UAAAUUCAAACCCUAGAAAUUGACAUACUUCGCAGACUUUCUUCAAACUAAUAGUUAUUAGAGCUUUUCCUUAUUCUUUGCCUCUGAUUCCUCGACAACACGAUUUUCUUCAAUUUUUCCUCCAAUUUCAUUCUCCAAAACUUCUUCUUCCUCCUCUUCUUCUUGUUGGAAGGUCUUUUCUUCUAAUAAUGAUGAACCUUCUUCAGAGUCAGAGGGGAACAACAUUCUUCUGGUUUAAGGGGGCAUUUUGGGAAUUACGUUUAACUGUUUAUUUGCAGAAAAUG
rnacentral:lncRNA from 1 species